UACGAACUGUGCAAACGUUAUUCGGAAUCACUGGGCUUAAAGGGUGCGUAGGCGGCUUGUUAAGUAGGGUGUGAAAUCCCCCGGCUCAACCGGGGAAUUGCGCCCUAAACUGGCGAGCUGGAGUGAGAUAGGGGUGUGUGGAACUUCCAGGUGGAGCGGUGAAAUGUGUUGAUAUUGGAAGGAACGCCAGUGGCGAAAGCGACACACUGGGUCUCAACUGACGCUGAGGCACGAAAGCCAGGGGAGCAAACGGG
rnacentral:rRNA from 1 species